rnacentral:tRNA from 1 species
GGCUACGUAGCUCAGUUGGUUAGCGCACAUCACUCAUAACGAUGGGGGCACAGGUUCGAAGCCCGUCGUAGCCA